CGGACGAAAGUCUGACCGAGCAACGCCGCGUGAGUGAAGAAGGUUUUCGGAUCGUAAAACUCUGUUGUUAGAGAAGAACGUUGUGUAGAGUGGAAAAUUACACAAGUGACGGUAUCUAACCAGAAAGGGACGGCUAACUACGUGCCAGCAGCCGCGGUAAUACGUAGGUCCCGAGCGUUGUCCGGAUUUAUUGGGCGUAAAGCGAGCGCAGGUGGUUUAAUAAGUCUGAUGUAAAAGGCAGUGGCUCAACCAUUGUGUGCAUUGGAAACUGUUAGACUUGAGUGCAGUAGAGGAGAGUGGAAUUCCAUGUGUAGCGGUGAAAUGCGUAGAUAUAUGGAGGAACACCGGUGGCGAAAGCGGCUCUCUGGACUGUAACUGACACUGAGGCUCGAAAGCGUGGGUAGCAAACAGGAUUAGAUACCCUGGUAGUCCACGCCGUAAACGAUGAGUGCUAGUUGUUUGGGGCUAUCCAGCCCUAAGUGACGCAGCAAACGCAUUAAGCACUCCGCCUGGGGAGUACGACCGCAAGGUUGAAACUCAAAGGAAUUGACGGGGCCCCCC
rnacentral:rRNA from 1 species